UGUAGCGGAAGAAAUAAAGUUCGAAGUUUUCAGAAAAGUUAAACGGUUGUAGCGGCACUCGGCAACAAACUUUCCAACAGUUUCGUCGGUACAAAGUGUAUCACCAAAGCGUAAGUGCCGACAGGCCUAAUGAACCAUCGAUAUCCCUACGGUCCUUCCGCCGAAUAUUUGGAAGAAGGCAACGUGACAACGGUCGCGGACGUCUAACGAACGCGUGCGUAGUGGGGAUAUUGAGAGGCGACAAAAAGAAACGAAUCUGAUCAAGAAAACAGUGGAGUUGUAACCAACAAGUGACAAUCGUCAGUUGGAAUCGAGAGUUGUACGAAAAGAGUACGGAAAGCGAGA
rnacentral:misc_RNA from 1 species